AGUGCUCGUCAUACGCAUACAAAAGAGGCGUAAUCCAAGGGCUGUUUGCAUGACAGGUAGAAAGCACACAGUAUGGAUUUUCACGGAGCAGUUCUGAUGCGGAUGUUUUAUUGCUCAUGGGGCGACCUUCUUUGUCUAUUAUCCAAGCCUUCUUAAGGUAGACCGAUAAAGCGCUGUUGACGGAACAAUCUAUAAAUAGUGCCUGUCAGAAAACCUCUGAAAAAUGGCAGUCGUUCCUGGCCGACAGAAGUUGAUAACGGCUGGAUUUCAGUUACCAGACGAACAAAGGAUGUUUUUUGUACUGCGCUGCUCAAAAUACAACCUGAUUCGACUAUCUACGAGCACAGUAAUCUCUCAUGCUUGGCAUGAUCAAAAGUAAACUGACGGGAGCCUGACUGAAAGGCUACUGACGAUCUCUGGUCAGCAGAAUUUUACCCAACCGCUUCAGGUUGCUGGCGACAACAGCCAGUGCGACAUACCGCUCAAAGCCUUCUAUCCCUUUAUCCGGGCAUUUGUCGAGACCAUUCGCUUCCAGUGCGUUGAUAUCGGAUUCAACGGCUGAGUGCUUCCUUCUUGCCCGGAUAAAUUCCGGGUGGCAUUCCCGUUUUUUGUCAUUGGCUGACAGCCUGCCUUUCUUGGGAAGAACUGAAUGCUCCAGAAGAACUUCCAGCUUUUCAAGAUUGCCCGGACUCCAGAAGCCUUUGUCGUAGCUCACCUGGCUUAAUGUCGGGAACCGCUUUUUGGCAGCCUCNGAUGACUUGUGGAUAGGAGUGAAAGGCUAAUCAAGCCCGGAGAUAGCUGGUUCUCCUCGAAAGCUAUUUAGGUAGCGCCUCUUGUAUCACCAUCGGGGGUAGAGCACUGUUUGGGCUAGGGGGUCAUCCCGACUUACCAACCCCAUGCAAACUCCGAAUACCGAUGAGUGCAAUCAAGGGAGACACACGGCGGGUGCUAACGUCCGUCGUGGAAAGGGAAACAACCCAGACCGUCAGCUAAGGUCCCAAAGUAAUAGUUAAGUGGGAAACGAUGUGAGAAGGCCCAGACAGCCAGGAGGUUGGCUUAGAAGCAGCCACCCUUUAAAGAAAGCGUAAUAGCUCACUGGUCGAGUCGGCUCGCGCGGAAGAUGUAACGGGGCUCAAACUAUUCACCGAAGCUACGGGUUCAACAGUUUACUGUUGAGCGGUAGAGGAGCGUUGUGUAAGCGGUUGAAGGUGUGCCGGGAGGCAUGCUGGACGUAUCACAAGUGCGAAUGCUGACAUGAGUAACGAUAAGGGGAGUGAGAUCCUCCCCCGCCGGAAGACCAAGGGUUCCUGCGCAACGCUAAUCGGCGCAGGGUGAGUCGGCCCCUAAGGUGAGGUCGAAAGACGUAAUCGAUGGGAAACAGGUUAAUAUUCCUGUACCCCUUUUGACUGCGACGGAGUGACGGAGAAGGCUAGGCCAGCACGGUGAUGGUUAUCCGUGUUUAAGGUUGUAGGCAAGGGUCUUAGGUAAAUCCGGGUCCCUCUUUAAUAGAGAAUGCCGAGAACUGAUGACGAACCAGCUACGGCUGGGAAGUGGUUGAUGCCAUGCUUCCAGGAAAAACUUCUAAGCUUCAGGUCAAAAGGGACCGUACCCCAAACCGACACAGGUGGUCAGGUAGAGAAUACCAAGGCGCUUGAGAGAACUUGGGUGAAGGAACUAGGCAAAAUGGCACCGUAACUUCGGGAGAAGGUGCGCCGGCUAGGGUGAAGGACUUGCUCCGUAAGCUCUGGCUGGUCGAAGAUACCAGGUGGCUGCGACUGUUUAUUAAAAACACAGCACUGUGCUAACACGUAAGUGGACGUAUACGGUGUGACGCCUGCCCGGUGCCGGAAGGUUAAUUGAUGGGGUUAGACUCUCUUUUAAGAGAAUCGAAGCUCUUGAUCGAAGCCCCGGUAAACGGCGGCCGUAACUAUAACGGUCCUAAGGUAGCGAAAUUCCUUGUCGGGUAAGUUCCGACCUGCACGAAUGGCGUAACGAUGGCCACGCUGUCUCCACCCAAGACUCAGUGAAAUUGAAAUCGCUGUUAAGAUGCAGUGUAUCCGCGGCUAGACGGAAAGACCCCGUGAACCUUUACUACAGCUUCACAGUGGAUCUUGAUGUUGCUUGUGUAGGAUAGGUGGGAGGCUUUGAAGUGUGGACGCCAGUCUGCAUGGAGCCAACCUUGAAAUACCACCCUGGCAAUAUUGAGGUUCUAACCCGGGUCCCUUAUCGGGAUCGGGGACAUUGUGUGGUGGGUAGUUUGACUGGGGCGGUCUCCUCCCAAAGAGUAACGGAGGAGCACGAAGGUUGGCUAAGCACGGUCGGACAUCGUGCGGUUAGUGUAAAGGCACAAGCCAGCUUGACUGCGAGACGUACAUGUCGAGCAGGUACGAAAGUAGGUCUUAGUGAUCCGGUGGUUCUGAAUGGAAGGGCCAUCGCUCAACGGAUAAAAGGUACUCCGGGGAUAACAGGCUGAUACCGCCCAAGAGUUCACAUCGACGGCGGUGUUUGGCACCUCGAUGUCGGCUCAUCACAUCCUGGGGCUGAAGCCGGUCCCAAGGGUAUGGCUGUUCGCCAUUUAAAGUGGUACGCGAGCUGGGUUUAGAACGUCGUGAGACAGUUCGGUCCCUAUCUGCCGUGGACGUUGGAAGUUUGAGGAGAGCUGCUCCUAGUACGAGAGGACCGGAGUGGACGAACCACUGGUGUUCGGGUUGUGUCGCCAGACGCAUUGCCCGGUAGCUAAGUUCGGACGGGAUAACCGCUGAAAGCAUCUAAGCGGGAAGCCCCCUUCAAGAUGAGACUUCCCUUGGCCUUCGAGGCCACAUAAGAGACGUUGAAGACUACGACGUUGAUAGGCUGGGUGUGUAAGCGUUGUGAGGCGUUGAGCUAACCAGUACUAAUGACUCGAGAGGCUUGACC
rnacentral:rRNA from 1 species